UGAUGAUGAGGACCCUUAUAUUGCAGACCUGAGGAAACAAAAGAGUAAGGAAUCAGUAGAAGGGAUAGGAUCACAUGGAAGCGAUGGGAGUUCAGCAAGCUUGUGAACUAGACCCUGGCCGGUCAACCUGGAACUUGGAGAGUUACCAUGGAAACAGUCUCCCAACCCUUUCCUUUGAAAAGGAUCCCUCCAGCCCUCAGAGAAAUCACCUGCAAGUAGCCAUCCAGCUGCCUUUGUUAUGCUCUGUCUCAGCCCUCACCCAUUAUCUGCUGUCAGACUUGGGUCAAGAGCCUUGCCAAUGACCUGUCAAGUGGAACAGCAUCCAGAGUGGCUGGUUCAGGCUGGGCCACAUCCUGCUCUCCUCCUGGCCUGUCCUCAGGCCCCUCCUCCACCUGCCCUGGCAAGAGGUGGAUUAAAUCCAGGAGGGUGGGGAACAGCAAGGUUUCCUUCCUUUCAAAAACACCUGGAGGCUUUUUAAACUCCAUCCUGGCUGCUAAAGAAUCAAGACUCUGUCUGACAAUUUCCCACAUCCCCUCCUCCAUGAAACGGAGUUUCCCUCUUUAUUGGUUUGCCAAAAGCAAAAGAGCAUCCCCAGGCACCUGCCAUUUAAACAAGAACAGAUUUAUUAUGUUUUGCCAGAAAGAUACUUGCUAUAGCUGAAACAGUGCAUGUGUCAGCCAGGAGGAAAUUUGCCCGUAGUAUUUUCCCUGGAUGACCUAUGAAUGGAUGGAUUAAUGGAUGGAGGCUGCCUCAGUUACCCCUUAUUGCCCUCUUCUUCCUCUCAGUAUCCUUUCCUGCCA